UAAGGCAACGGGUUUUGGUCCCGCUAUUCGGAGGUUCGAAUCCUUCCGUCCCAG
rnacentral:tRNA from 5 species